CUAUCACUUACAGAUGGACCCGCGGCGCAUUAGCUAGUUGGUGAGGUAACGGCUCACCAAGGCGACGAUGCGUAGCCGACUUGAGAGGGUGAUCGGCCACACUGGGACUGAGACACGGCCCAGACUCCUACGGGAGGCAGCAGUAGGGAAUCUUCCGCAAUGGACGAAAGUCUGACGGAGCAACGCCGCGUGAGUGAUGAAGGUUUUCGGAUCGUAAAACUCUGUUGUUAGGGAAGAACAAGUAUCGUUCGAAUAGGGCGGUACCUUGACGGUACCUAACCAGAAAGCCACGGCUAACUACGUGCCAGCAGCCGCGGUAAUACGUAGGUGGCAAGCGUUGUCCGGAAUUAUUGGGCGUAAAGCGCGCGCAGGCGGUUUCUUAAGUCUGAUGUGAAAUCUUGCGGCUCAACCGCAAGCGGCCAUUGGAAACUGGGAGACUUGAGUGCAGAAGAGGAGAGUGGAAUUCCACGUGUAGCGGUGAAAUGCGUAGAGAUGUGGAGGAACACCAGUGGCGAAGGCGACUCUCUGGUCUGUAACUGACGCUGAGGCGCGAAAGCGUGGGGAGCGAACAGGAUUACAUACGCUGGUAGUCCACGCCGUAAACGAUGAGUGCUAAGUGUUAGAAGGUUUCCGCCCUUUAUUGCUGCAGCUAACGCAUUAAGCACUCCGCCUGGUGAGUACGGCCGCAAGGCUGAAACUCAAAAGAAUUGACGGGGGCCC
rnacentral:rRNA from 1 species